UACGUAGGCAGCGAGCGUUGUUCGGAGUUACUGGGCGUAAAGGGUGUGUAGGCGGUUUUUUAAGUCAGACGUGAAAUCCCCCGGCUCAACCUGGGAACUGCGUCUGAUACUGGAUGGCUUGAAUUCGGGAGAGGGAUGCGGAAUUCCAGGUGUAGCGGUGAAAUGCGUAGAUAUCUGGAGGAACACCGGUGGCGAAGGCGGCAUCCUGGACUGAGAUUGACGCUGAUGCGCGAAAGCCAGGGGAGCAAACGGG
rnacentral:rRNA from 1 species